rnacentral:lncRNA from 1 species
GAUCAAUCAAUCAUGUUUCCGUCUCAUGUGUUUAAUAUAGGGUCCAAGAUCUUUGUUUCUUUUUCGCUGUUUCAAUUGACCCUAUCCAACGUGUUUAACCAACCAACCAACCAACCAACCAACCAAACAGCUAAUCAAGUAAUCAAUCAAUCAUGAUCAUGAUCAAUCAAUCAUGAUCAUGAUCAAUCAAUCAUGUAUCCGUCUCAUGUGUUUAAUAUAGGGUCCAAGAUCUUCUUUGUUUCUUUUUCCGUGUUUCAAUUGACCCUAUCCAACGUGUUUAACCAACCAACCAACCAAUCAACCAACCAACCAACCAACCAACCAACCAACUAACCAACUUAUCAACUUAUCAAUCAAUCAAUCAAUCAAUCUGUAUGACUGUUUAAUCAUGACAGUUUAUUGAAGGAACAAACUCUCAAUUAUUCAAGAAAAAUUGAAAUUUAAUAUUGUUCUUACGUCACUUCUGAAAAAAAAAUCCACAUGUUCUCUGAAACUACAAGUACAAUCGACCUCAAAAUUUGCAGUCAGCAGGGCAUACAUGUACUAAACGUUUAUAAAAAAAACUUGGUGCAGAUAUCUCUCAAAGCUUUUCCUAGAGAAAAGAAAUGGCAAUGCCGUAAAAAUAGCUUGCUAGGUCCGUAAAUCUCAGUAAAAACCUACAAUAAAAUGUCCGCUCCGAGUUUGAAAUACUAAUCUGUGUUACAAACAGGUGCUGAAAAAUGUACAUUAUCAGAAAAUAAUCAAUAAAUGUGUUUUAAAGUUACACCGGAUCAAUUAAAUCCAAAACAUGCACUACUUGUGAACUGUGAUCAAAAUGUCAAUUUCCUACAAUGACAAAAGAAAUUACAUUGUGUACAUUCCAUCUCUAUAGAUGUUGUCUGUUUAACGUCCCCCUAAAAAGGAAUAAAAAGACUAUCUUUUCGUUAUUAUAAACCCGUGUCACGUGAUGUGGCGCGCGCGCUGUACCUAAAAUAAAAGAAAAACUUUCCAAACUAAACAUGAAACUUCUCCGGUAACAAUAAUAUAGACCCCAUACAGAAACAAACAAACAAACAAACAAACAAACAAACAAACAAACAAACACCCCCCAAUUCAAUUAAUUUUACAGGGGGAAAGACCCCCUACAAUUGCUUUUUUAAAGCAAUUGAUUUAUAUUUCUUUUUAGAAUGGCAUUAAUAAUUAGGUCUUUCCACUUUUCGUGGAAAGACCUUUUGUUUUUCUUCUGAUUAUUUUUUUUUUCUUCUGCCGUCUGAGAUGCUUUUUUGUCUUACAACAUAGAGAAUGGAUUUUUUGGCCAAUGAUGUUGUACAGUAAUGGGGGUUUCGAAACUCACCCUGUGUGACCGAACACUUAUUCUUAUAGGAGUUAUCUCCCUGCGUCCCCUUUUUCUUGUUAUCGCUAUAUCUCUAAAACUGUAAAAGAUUUUAGCAAACUGUUUUCAC